CAUGCGCGUCUCGGUCGUGGAGCGCGCCCCCGUGUUCUCCUCUGCAAAUGGGCUCCGUGGCCAAGCGCCCCCAUCCCCACCACCUGUGAUCACGCAGAGGCCUGGAGGGGUCGCCGCCCAGGUCCCACCAGCCCGCGAGGCAGAGCAUGGCAGCCAUCCCCUCCAGCCGCUCGCUCGUGGCUGCCCACGACUACUACCGGCGCCGCCUGGGUUCCACUUCCAGCAACAGCUCCUGCGGCAGUACCGAGUGCCCCGCGGAAGCCAUUCCCCACCCCCCGGGUAUCCCCAAGGCUGCCCAGGGUCACUGCUGGGCCAGCUUCUUUUCGGGAGGUCCACCCUCCAGUUCAUGGCCACGGUGCUGGAGUCCGCGGAGCACGCGGAACGCCCCCAGGCCUCCAGCAGCAUGACCACCUGUGGCCUGGCUCCAGAUGCCCCGAGGAGCCCCGUGGUCAGUCCAGCACUGCUGGACUGGGCCCCCGUCCUGACCUGAGGGGUGACCACCAGCCCCAGGCCUGCGGACGUGCUAGGCCACCAGAGCCCCUCCCGCCCCCUCCCCACCCCC